CUCGAAGAAGUUUGCAGUCUCCAUCGUGCACCGUCUGGUAUCGUCGUCACGUUAGCGACGAGGAAUCACCGCUUGCUUGGUUUUCGGCGGACCGCGAUGGACAAAAAGCUGAGCCUUGCGCAAACGAUGAUCUCGGCGGGAGUCUUCUCCGUUGUCUCUUUCUGGUACGGCUUCAUGUUCGGGAGGGAAUCAGCUCGGAAGGAGCUGGGCGGCCUGAUUGAAGACCUCCGUCGAAGUAAUGCCGCGGCCUCCGAUGCCACAACGAAGAGCUCCCAGGAUUAGAGACCAAGGUUGGAGGUUGCAAUUCUCAAAAACACUCUCCUAAUUGGCGACACCUGAGAUCAGGCACAUGCAGUGUCUGGUUAGAGAGCAGCCUUUUCAUGUCCUUGUAAUUUUAGCUUUUUAUGUUCAAACAAGCUCUAAGCAAGUCGGACGUCAUUUUGGUAUGUUAUUUUUCUUCUUUUUCCCAUCGAAGCUAAGAUCACAUCCACCCCUCAAACUACUUCGCAUGCAUUUUGAUGACAGAAUUGGCUAUUUCAUGAGUUUACUCCGUUGUAAAAAGACAAAAAAAUAAUGUUGUUAAUGCAUAUCUUUGUUUCUCA